AUGUCCGAGUGAUAAAUUGAUGUUAGUACAGGCGCAGAUUUAAUUACGGGGACAGAAUUGAAGUUUAAAAAGAAAAAAUUUAAAAUUUAUUUUAUUUUAUAUAAAUAAAAAGUUUUUAAAAACGAAAUAACCCAAAUUAAUGUCUUGGAUGAUGGUUUAAAUUGUUAUAGUAAAUACAAUUAUAUUUAAUAUUUGGUCUUUAGGAAAAAAAAUCUCAAGAGUACAUACACAUGUAUGUAAUCAUCUUAAAUUAUUGUUUAUUUUUUUUUUGUGAAAACAGAAGUGGAACACAAAGACAAAUUGUAUUUGUGUUUAAAUUUUAAAAGCAGAUAGAAAUAGAGAAAAAAUAGAUAAAAAAAAAAGCAGCUUUUUGUAUCUUUUAAAGGAAGGAUAAUAACAAUUACCGUUUCAUAUACAAAUUUAUUUUAAUAUAUAAUAUACGUAUAUUAUUACAAAACUUGAACUCAAAAUGGCGGAAGUAUUGAGUAAUCCCAAUUCAGAUGUAACUGCUGCAACUGUAGUACAAGGAAAUGUUGAUGAAACUUCCGAAGUUCAUAAUAAUCAUCAACAACAAAAAGGUUUGUAUAAAUUGUGGAACGAUUUGAAGUGGAAUAUAUUUACGUAUGAAAGAAACAUGGCUUCUUAAAGGAUAAAUUUUUAAAGACAAUAUGAGAAUAAUCUUAAAGAAUAAUUUUAAAUACAAUUAGAAAUAUG